CUCCAUCUGCGUGACAAAACACGGAAGUGCUCAGCUGUAUGGAAGCAAGUCUGUUGUUGACAGGUCUUUUCUUCUUCUUUUUUUUUAAAGGGCAUCACUACAGCAUUAGCAACGGAUAGAAAUGUCUCCUGUAGUAAAUAUAUAUUUUAUAUGAGGUUAUUAUCCGAUAUGUUUUUAGAUACUAAUUCAUAUUUCACCUGUUUUAUCUUGGGUGAUAAUCGCUGGUCAACUCGCUAGCCACCUUAACCAACGUUCAUUUACCAAUUCUGGACAGCCUAUGGAUUAUUACUCCCAGUUUUUUUUAAACUUGCAGUAUAACAAUAUAGAAUAUUGGAACUAUAAUUUAAAAGGAUGUCAGUUGAACUUGAUGUGUUUGUUGUUAACACCACCAUUAUGGAUGAGGAAGUGUAUCAGCUAUGGCUGGAUGGCUACACAGUGAAUGAUGCAGUGAAGGUUCGUAUGGAGGGAGGGGUAUUGGAGGGGUGUGAGGCCAGUGCUGAGGUUCUGCACAGUGACACCAUGGACCAGUACAGAACCUUCCAGAUGUGUGAGCGCCUCCUACACAGCCCUGUCAAGCUGGCCAAUCAGUUGUUGUUCCAGAUCCCACCUCAUCGCCAGGUCAUGCUCAUAGAGAGGUACUAUGCGUUCGAUAGCGUGUUUGUGCGAGAGGUCCUUGGGAAGAAGCUCUCAAAGGGGACCAAGAAGGACCUCGAUGACGUCAGUGCAAAGACUGGUGUCACACUGAAGAGCUGCAGGCGGCAGUUUGAUAACUUCAAGCGUGUAUUCAAAGUUGUGGAGGAACUGAAGGGACCCCUGGUGGAGAACAUUCGUCAGCACUUCCUUCUCUCUGACAAGCUGGCCAGGUAAAAGUAGAAAAUAGUGGAAUUUAAAUCUUGUAUCUAUCUGUUUUUUUUAUUUGUAUAAAACUCCCCUGUGUCUCCUCUUCUCAGGGAUUACGCUGCCAUCGUUUUCUUUGCCAAUAAUCGCUUUGAGACUGGGAAGAAGAAGCUGCACUAUCUUACAUUCCAGGACUUUGCCUUCUGUGCAGGGCAGCUCAUCAGCAACUGGACAGUGGGAGCAUUGGGUGAUUCCCUGGUCUAUCAGAUCUGCAGUUGUACAGUGCAAUCAGUCCUGAUUCCCUAUGAGACCCGCAUUAUAAUUGAAGUUCUGCAAACAAUUAUACGAUCCCAGCACUGUAAUCUAAUAUGACAACAUCAGAGGUCUGAAGUAGUUUUGUCUUCUCAGAUAACAUGGUGGAAGACAUGGACGUGGAUCUUGAGAAGGAGUUCUUACAAGAUCUAAAAGAACUGAAGAUUUUAAUCACUGACAGGGAUCUGCUGGACCAGCACAAGAGGCAUGAGAGUGUGGUUGAUUUGUUAUUGAUCGCCUGAUGUUUUGGUGUGCACGGCUCUCCGGGGGAAGACCAAAGCAUUUAAUGAGAUGGAAGCCAACUUCAAGAAUCUCUCCAGAGGCCUUGUCAACAUUGCUGCCAAACUAACCAACACAAAAGAAGUCAGAGACUUCUUCAUUGAUCUGGUGGAAAAGUUCAUUGAGCCGUGUCGGUCAGACAAAUGGACAGCAGGAGACAUGAGACUCUACCUCACUCACUACACUAACUCUGCACACGUACUCGACACAUUCAAACACCAGGUAGUGUGGGACAGGUACAUGGGAGUGAUAAAAAGCUGCAUCCUCAAAAUGUACCAUGACUGAGACGUAGACCUCGCUCAACUAUCUACUCGGAACUUUCUGUCCUCUUUUAUAUCGGAGUCAUGUCUUCUUUCCCUCUUUCUGUCUGCAGUCAUCAUGUAAAUCCUCCGCUCUGUCUGUCAGAUGUCUUCCUCCUCUAAUGCCAGUGCCCACAUUUCUCCAUCCUUCAUGCCGUUAUGCAGUUUUUUCCCCCCUCAGUCUCUUCUGACGACCUACUUUGCGACGUCAUCAUGUAUAUCACCUCAUUUUUAUUGUAAAUAAAGUCAACUGAUUUUAUACC